rnacentral:misc_RNA from 1 species
AACGCACCUUGCGCUCCUUGGUAUUCCGAGGAGCAUGCCUGUUUGAGUGUCUUGAAGUCAUCAACCCCUCCCGCUUUUGCGUGGAAAUGGGGAUUGGAGUUGGGGGCCUGCUGCCGUGAGGCGGCUCCCCUCAAAUGCAUCGGUUGGACCUGCGGGUCGGACUCGACUGGGCGUUGUACCAUCCUCGCUCGACCGAGAAGUUCCCCUAUUAGCGUCCUCCCACGACUCGCCUGUGGAGCGGCAGUCAAUGUAAUUUGAAAUCUGACCUCAAAUCAGGUAGGACUACCCGCUGAACUUAA